rnacentral:tRNA from 1 species
GCCUCAAUGGCCCAGUCGGUUAAGCGUCUGACUUUGGCUCAGGUCGUGGUCUCACGGUUUGUGGGUUCGAGCCCCACAUCGGGCU